GUGGGGAAUAUUGGACAAUGGGCGCAAGCCUGAUCCAGCCAUGCCGCGUGAGUGAUGAAGGCCUUAGGGUUGUAAAGCUCUUUCACCGAUGAAGAUAAUGACGGUAGUCGGAGAAGAAGCCCCGGCUAACUUCGUGCCAGCAGCCGCGGUAAUACGAAGGGGGCUAGCGUUGUUCGGAUUUACUGGGCGUAAAGCGCACGUAGGCGGAUUGGUCAGUUAGAGGUGAAAUCCUGGAGCUCAACUCCAGAACUGCCUUUAAUACUGCCAGUCUAGAGUCCAGAAGAGGUGAGUGGAACUCCUAGUGUAGAGGUGGAAUUCGUAGAUAUUAGGAAGAACACCAGUGGCGAAGGCGGCUCACUGGUCUGGUACUGAUGCUGAGGUGCGAAAGCGUGGGGAGCAAACAGGAUUAGAAACCCGAGUAGUCC
rnacentral:rRNA from 1 species